rfam:Mus musculus chromosome 13, GRC primary reference assembly.
GGAUGCGAAGGCAAUCUGAUUGUGACAUCUCUCACUCCAUUGGUCACUUGGGUGGAUACAUUUGAUCUGGCUGACUAGGUGGGUGUCCUCUUCCCUGCCAUCCCAUAUGUCUCUCCUAAAACUGUGUGCUCCAUUGAGAGGACACCCUUCCUUGCAUAGAGGAGGACUGGUCUCCAGUUGGGGGCUAUGCUUCAUUCUAGAAUCUCCAAACAAACUCAGUGCUUAUUAAUUCUAAGUUUGAUUAACUCCAAGACUAUUCUCCAUGUCUUCUUGCUGCUUCUAAGUACUGUUUAUCAAG